GCCCCAGUAACGGCGAGUGAAGCGGCAACAGCUCAAAUUUGAAAUCUGGCGCCCGUCAGGGGGCCCGAGUUGUAAUUUGCAGAGGAUGCUUCUGGCGAGGUGCCUUCCAAGUUCCCUAGAACGGGACGCCGCAGAGGGUGAGAGCCCCGUCCGGUCGGCCACCGAGCCUCUGUGAAGCUCCUUCGACGAGUCGAGUAGUUUGGGAAUGCUGCUCUAAACGGGAGGUAUAUGUCUUCUAAAGCUAAAUACCGGCCAGAGACCGAUAGCGCACAAGUAGAGUGAUCGAAAGAUGAAAAGCACUUUGAAAAGAGAGUUAAACAGCACGUGAAAUUGUUGAAAGGGAAGCGCUCGCGACCAGACUUGGGCCCGUCGAGUCACCCGGCGCUCCCGCCGGGGCACUUCGGCAGGCCCAGGCCAGCAUCGGCCCGCCGCGGGGGACAAAGGCCCCGGGAACGUGGCUCCCCUCGGGGAGUGUUAUAGCCCGUCGCGCAAUGCCCUGGGGCGGGCCGAGGCCCGCGCACGCAAGUGCAAGGAUGCUGGCGUAAUGGUCCCCAGCGACCCGUCUUGAAACACGGACCAAGGAGUCGUCCUCGUAUGCGAGUGUUCGGGUGUGAAGCCCCUACGCGCAAUGAAAGUGAACGCUGGUGAGAGCCCUAACGGGCGCAUCACCGACCGAUCCUGAUGUUCUCGGAUGGAUUUGAGUAGGAGCAUACGGGGCCGGACCCGAAAGAAGGUGAACUAUGCCUGUGUAGGGUGAAGCCAGAGGAAACUCUGGUGGAGGCUCGCAGCGGUUCUGACGUGCAAAUCGAUCGUCAAACAUGGGCAUGGGGGCGAAAGACUAAUCGA
rnacentral:rRNA from 1 species